rnacentral:misc_RNA from 1 species
UUCACUUCCAAAGAGAGAGAGGAGAAAAACUAUGGGCAAGGAAAACGAUAGCGUUCCAUCGUCGGCGCAAGGCUUCAAGCUCGUAGGAUUUUCCAACUUCGUCAGAACAAAUCCUCGAUCCGAUCUUUUCAAGGUCAAGCGCUUUCACCACGUGGAGUUCUGGUGCACUGAUGCUACCAAUACGGCUUGUCGCUUCUCCUGGGGACUUGGAAUGCCUUUCGUAGCUAAAUCCGAUCUUUCCACUGGCAACGUCACCCAUGCUUCCUAUCUACUUCGCUCCGGCGACCUCAGCUUCCUUUUUACCGCUCCCUACUCUCCUACUAUUGCUUCCAUGGAGAACUUUUCGCACACUGCCACCGCAUCUAUCCCAACCUUCAGUCAUGAAGCGUGCCGGAAUUUCUCAGCUAAGCACGGACUUGGUGUUCGAGCCAUCGCCAUAGAAGUUGAGGACGCAGAAAUCGCGUUCAACACUAGCGUCGCACGCGGCGCCUUACCCAUGGGCGGACCAAUAACGCUCGAUAAUCGUGCCGUUGUUGCGGAAGUUCAUUUAUAUGGGGAUGUAGUUUUGCGAUAUAUUAGUUACAAGAACUCAAACCCUAACCUUAAUGAUUCUAGUCCCGAUAGUUGGUUUCUGCCAAAAUUUGAAUCAGUAGAUGAGGCUUCAUCGUUUCCUUUGGAUUACGGGAUUCGGCGAUUGGACCAUGCGGUUGGAAACGUGCCGGAAUUAGCUCCAGCGGUCUCUUACGUCAAGGAGUUCACCGGUUUCCAUGAGUUUGCGGAGUUCACGGCGGAGGAUGUGGGGACUAGUGAGAGCGGAUUGAACUCGUUGGUUUUGGCGAAUAAUGAAGAGACAGUUUUGCUGCCACUGAAUGAGCCGGUGUUUGGCACCAAGAGGAAAAGCCAAAUACAAACAUACUUGGAGCACAAUGAAGGAGCUGGUCUGCAGCAUUUGGCGCUUGUGAGUGAAGAUAUAUUCAAGACCUUAAGGGAAAUGCGGCGGAGGAGCGGCGUUGGAGGAUUUGACUUUAUGCCGUCUCCGCCGCCAACAUAUUAUCGGAAUUUGAAGAAACGGGUAGGGGAUGUUUUGACUGAUGAGCAGAUCAAGGAGUGUGAGGAGUUGGGAAUUUUGGUGGAUAGGGAUGAUCAGGGGACCUUGCUCCAGAUUUUCACUAAGCCUGUUGGCGAUAGGUAACCAUGGACUAAUUUCUUCAGUUCCUUGUUUGAUUAAACUCAUAUUUCUUGCUAUGAUGAGAUUAUUGAAUGCAUCAAAUUCUCCCCUUAGAUUCUCUGUCACUCUCUCUCUAAUUUAUUCAUCUCCAACUGGAUUGAACUUGUAACCUCAAACCCCUAUAAACAACUCUAGUAUCAGUAAGUCAAAGUUUCAUUGGUUAUACUUUCUACUUGUACAUCCUGCAUUUCUUAAAUUAACCUACAUGUGAUUGGGAUUCUUGCCAGAAUUGUAUCUAAAUGUGUCUGCAUUUUUUGCUGCUGCUUUUAUUUUUGUUUUACGUAAUAGAAUUAGAAUGAUGAUAGAGUUUGGUUUUCCAUAUGUUUGAAUGUGACUCUGAAACUCGUGGAAACGAGAGUGUAAAAGGGUGGUAUAUGUAUCAAUUUGGUUGUUGAAUUUCUCUAGUCAUUUUAAGAUACUGCAUUCAAAACAGCUGUAGAAAAUGCUUGUGUUUUCUGCAAAUGCAUUCAGAAAACUCUUAACUGUGUAAAUUUCUUGUAUUUUCUGCAAAUGAGUAAAGGGAAAAGUAUGUACUUGUGUAAUUUAAUCUGACUUUAUUCUAUUUGUAUAAUCAAAACGACUUGGGAACUUGUUGUUUUGUAGCAAAAUAGCAACACCAUACAUGUGUCUUCGGUGACCGGGCGUACAUAAGAAUUUUGCAUAGUUUGCUGACAAUGUUCAACAUGUUUUUCUUGACAUGGACGUUUUUCUUACUCUCCUCAGGAAGACAUCUUUGGCUGGGAUAAUAUAUGUUUAGCAUUGUUGGGAUGAAUUGGUGGUUUUACUCUUUUGUAAUUUUGGCAGGCCAACCAUCUUUAUAGAGAUAAUUCAAAGGGUAGGCUGCAUGAUAAAGGAUGAGACGGGGAAAGAAUACCAGAAGGGUGGAUGCGGAGGUUUUGGGAAGGGAAACUUUUCAGAGCUAUUCAAGUCUAUUGAGGAAUACGAGAAGACACUUGAAGCCAAACGAAAUGCAGAAGCAGCUACGGCAUGAAUAUGAACUUGGAAUGCCAUCAACCAUUAGCAUGUCACUGAAAUAGUGUAGCCGUGCUAUUUAAAUAACAGUGAAACUGAAAAGAUAGAAUAAGAUGAUAGGAAACUUUGUGGUUGUUGGCUGUGUAAAACUUAAUAAGAUUAGAAGCUACUUGUUUGUUGCCUGUGUAAACUCACUAAUUGAUGAAAAUAAUUUAGCUAAUGAUAAUAUAUUGUUGAAGGUGCAAGUGAAAUAUUUAUCCACUUGAAGAUUGAGCCUUGGCGUCUUGUGAAUUGUAAAAGUUCGCUCGAGUUCAUUCAUUAUAAUUAAGGAGCCAAACUCUUUAAA